rnacentral:rRNA from 1 species
CCUACGGGAGGCAGCAGUGAGGAAUAUUGGUCAAUGGCCGAGAGGCUGAACCAGCCAAGUCGCGUGAAGGAAGACGGCCCUACGGGUUGUAAACCUCUUUUGUCCGGGAGCAAACCGAGUCACGUGUGACUCAUUGAGAGUACCCUAAGAAAAAGCAUCGGCUAACUCCGUGCCAGCAGCCGCGGUAAUACGGAGGAUGCAAGCGUUAUCCUGAUUUAUUGGGUUUAAAGGGUGCGCAGGCGGAGGAGCAAGUCAGCGGUCAAAUUCCGGGGCUCAACCCCGUACUGCCGUUGAAACUGCAUCCCUUGAGUGCGCGAGAAGUAUGCGGAAUGCGUGGUGUAGCGGUGAAAUGCAUAGAUAUCACGCAGAACUCCGAUUGCGAAGGCAGCAUACCGAGGUGCAACUGACGCUGAUGCACGAAAGCGUGGGUAUCGAACAGGAUUAGAUACCCUUGUAGUC